rnacentral:rRNA from 1 species
AUACGGAGGAUCCGAGCGUUAUCCGGAUUUAUUGGGUUUAAAGGGUGCGUAGGCGGUUGGAUAAGUUAGAGGUGAAAGCUCGAUGCUCAACAUCGAAAUUGCCUCUGAUACUGUCCGACUAGAGUAUAGUUGCGGAAGGCGGAAUGUGUGGUGUAGCGGUGAAAUGCUUAGAUAUCACACAGAACACCGAUUGCGAAGGCAGCUUUCCAAACUAUCACUGACGCUGAGGCACGAAAGCGUGGGGAGCAAACAGGAUUAGAUACCCUGGUAGUCCACGCAGUAAACGAUGAUAACUCGUUGUCGGCGAUACACUGUCGGUGACCAAGCGAAAGCGAUAAGUUAUCCACCUGGGGAGUACGUUCGCAAGAAUGAA